CAGCCGCCGCGGUAAUACCCGCAGCCCGAGUGGUGGUCGAUUUUAUUGAGUCUAAAACGUUCGUAGCCGGUCUGAUAAAUCCCUGGGUAAAUCGGGUGGCUUAACCAUCCGAAUUCCGGGGAGACUGUCAGGCUUGGGAUCGGGAGAGGUAUGAGGUACUUCAGGGGUAGGGGUAAAAUCCUGUAAUCCUUGGAGGACCACCGGUGGCGAAGGCGUCAUACUAGAACGAAUCCGACGGUGAGGGACGAAGCCCUAGGUCGCAAACGGGAUUAGAUACCCCGGUAGUCUAGGGUGUAAACGCUGCAGACUAGGUGUUGGAGGCCCUACGGGGGCACCCAGUGCCCGAGAGAAGUUGUUAAGUCUGCUACUUGGGGAGUACGUCCGCAAGGAUGAAACUUAAAGGAAUUGGCGGGGGAGCACCGCAACGGGAGGAGCGUGCGGUUUAAUUGGAUUCAACACCGGAAAACUCACCAAGGGAGACCAUCACAUGAAAGCCAGGCUAAUGACUUUGCUUGAUUCUUGGAGAGGUGGUGCAUGGCC
rnacentral:rRNA from 1 species